GGAAGGGUAAAAGUGGAAUUGGGUAAAAGAGGCCAAAGGAGAUAACUGAAGGUUUUCAUUUUCACGUAUUUUGCCUCAGAGUCAGAAAAGGGAGAAGCGCUGAAGAGAAAGAGAAGGAAGAGGAAAAGACCAAAGAUUGCUCAGAGCUUCCUUCAAUCCAAAGAGAUAAUGAGGAGUAGCUUUUGUUGAGGUGAAGAAUAAGUGUAGAGUUAUUCUACAGAGUCAAGUCAAUGCUCUGGUCAUGUGACACCGGGGUUAUGGGAUUCAAUAGAGAUUAUAUUAUUAUUUAAGUUGUGUAUGAAGACUAAAUUAUUGAUAUGUUUUGUUGAAACAUUUUUAUAAAUCGUUAAUUGUGUUGUUGUCCGCUGCGAGGUUUUAUUAAAAUAAAUGAAAUAUUUUUAUGUUGUAAAGUGAUGAGUGUUAAGUUGAAUGAAAUGUAAACUCUUCUACAUGUUA